GAUUGAUUUGCCCUUUGUUGUAAAUGGACCGGACGUACAAAUACAAAAUAGAAUUUUGUCAAACAGCUUCAUGACGCGAUAAGAAAAUGUCGAAUCAAAUAACGGAGCGCGUAGCUUCGAAUUGUGCUCGAUGGCUCCACACGUAUGUAAAUUAUUUCGAGUCAAUUCAGUGAACAGUCAGUCGGUGUUACGUUAGCGUUAUUCUAGUACGCUCUUCGCGGACUCCAGCGGAAACCAGUCGAUAUUAUGUGGUCCGAACGAAGAAAUUGCAUAUUAAUUUUACAAUUAUGAUGCCUAUUGUGUAUACGGUGUAUGGAUUUGCCAUAUUUUUUAUGAUCGCAUGGGUUUGUCUGUGGUUAAUUCACAUAAUGGCUUUUUCAUAUUCAAAGUGGAAGUUGCAUAGAACAGUGGACCGGUCGCCACCUGAACAGCCGUACCCGGGCAUCUCAAUCAUAAAACCACUUACUGGUAUCGACCCGAACUUAUUAUCGAAUCUCGAGACAUUUUUCACCCUAGAUUACCCAAUGUACGAGAUACUAUUCUGUGUGGAGUGUGAAGAUGAUCCGGCUGUAAUGUUAGUGCAGCAGACCCUACAGCCGAAGUAUCCCCAUGUAGAUGUGAAACUGUUCAAAGGCGGGAAGCGGGUAGGAGUAAACCCUAAAAUAAAUAAUAUGCAACCCGCAUACUUAUCAGCAAAAUACCCCCUCGUGCUUGUGAGCGAUGCCGGGAUCCGGAUGCGCGAAGAUACUUUACUAGACAUGGUGCAGCACAUGCGAGACGACGUAGCUAUAGUGCAUCAGAUGCCGUUCGCGUGUGACGCCGAAGGCUUCGCUGCGGUAUAUGAAAAAGUGUACUUUGGCACAGCACAGGCACGGAUGUACCUAUGCGCGGACUUCCUAGGAAUCAAUUGUCACGUUGGAAUGUCGUCGUUGGUGCGAAAGGAAGCGCUGGACGAUGUGGGUGGCCUUGCGGCUUUCGCGGACUAUUUAGCGGAGGACUAUUUCAUGGCACAGGCGAUAGUAUCUCGCGGGUGGCGUAUGCGGGUGGCGUCGCUGCCGGCGCUGCAGAACGCGGGCUCGCGGUCGGUGGGCGCGUUGCAGGCGCGCCUUACGCGCUGGGCACGGCUGCGGAUCGCGAUGGUGCCGACCACCACGAUGCUGGAGGUGCUCAGCGAAUGUUUACCGCUCGGCGCCGGCGCCGCGUGGGCCGCUGGACAGUUAUUUAGUGCGGAACCAUUAGCAUUCUUCUUAGUGCAUGUGUUAGUGUGGUUCCUGUCAGACUGGUUAAUGCUGCGGUCGGUACAGAACGGCUCGCCUCCGUUCACCAAAGUGCAGUUCCUGCUCGGCUGGGUGUGGAGCGAGUGCUGUGCGCCAUUUGUGCUGGCCACUGCACUGUUUAGCCCGGAAAUCUCGUGGAGGACUCGCUGCUACCGUUUGGACUGGGGUGGCCGAGCGCACGAACUCAAGCCACCUCAUACACAAAAGCUUUAAUUUGGUGAAUGUUUACACAUUUUAAUGUAAAAAUGUUAAUGCUUGCUGUGUGUGAAUGGGAGUGACUGUAAAGAUAAAUUUUUAUUUUAAUUCCUAUUUUAUAAUAUGUCAACUCAUUGCUUUUAUUUUAGAAAAAAAAUAUGUACAAUUUUAUAUUGAUUACGUCCAAUGUUUUGAUUUUGCAAUAAUUGCCAUUAUGGUACUAUAAUGUAUCAUCAUAUUAAAGUACAAGUACUAAAUAAACAAAGUACUAAGUAAUAUAUAAAUAAAUUAACAUUGUGUUAUUAUAAACACAAAUUAAGACUGUUAAUUCGAGUUCAAAUCAUUAAAAUUCAUUUACUUACCUGUUUGCAAUAAAGUCAUCAGUGUAAUCUUAAAAUUUAAAUUAAACAAUUUAUUAUAUUCAGCUUCAUUCUUACUGUAGAGUAUUUAUAUGAAUGAUAUUAUCUCGGUAAUGAGUACUAUUAAUAAGAAAUCAAAGGAUAUUGAAGAUUGGAAAUACUCUACAGAAGCCAAAUUAUGCCAAUUUUUAGCUCUAUUUCUUUUUCUCAUGUGAAAUAUCUAGAUCUGAAUAUUUCAUUAAGCACACUUAUUUAAAGAAGUUAAGAAAUUAAUGUCAUAAUAUUUUGUUACCAAAUCUUUGAGAAAUUUUCAUCCAUAACAUGUAGAUGGAUGUCAAGUCAUUUGGGAAUUAAGAUUAUUAAUCCAAUAAACUUUAUUAUCUAUACAGAUAAAAAUUAUCAAUACUUUGUGUGUUGAUUGUGAAAUCAAUGCUUUAUAUGGUUGUACUGCAAGCUUCUUUGAUUUAUUAGAGGAUUGUUUAAACAAAUCAAAGGACAAAUACUGUUAACACUAAUAUAAAAGUAUGCUGUCGAGUCAGAAGUUUGUACUUUAACCAAGUCCUAAACGUUAAUCGAAAUGCAAGUAAAUAUUUCGAGUUAUCCAUACAAAUACAGCGCGUCUAGUAGUGAACUUAUUUUAUCAGAAGCUCUGAAUUAUUUGUUGCUGUCUACUCGUUUAAGGAAUGUUCUACUUUCUUGAGAGAACACUCCCUUAAGAGUACGUAAGAAAAGAGAAUUUUAAGUGUAAAUAAAAAGGACAGAAGAAUUUGUGAGGAAUUAUAUUGCUUUAUUCGGUUCAAAUUCAGUAUUGGAAAGAUACUGCACUGCUGAAAGACUCGUAAAGGUAUGCAAAUGAUUUCAACUUCGCCUUGUAUUUAGUUUAUGUGCAGAAUUAUGGUUUAAUACCAUCACUGCGUACUUAGUUUUAUUAAUGCUUCGUAUAUAAAGCCCACAAAAUUAGCCGCAGUAUGCCGCGUAUGCAUGGACGGCUUUUUCAAAUAAUAUACCUACAGGCACGAAAAAGAAUUACGUGAAUGUGCGCUUAUGCCAGAACGGCUAACGCGACGACUGAUUUAUCGUUUUAAAUUCGACGACAACCCUCGGCGUACUUUUUACCCGCCUAAAUAGAACACCAGAUACCCAUUGCGUAAUACAUACGAGUCAGUGGAACGUUCUCGAAGAACAUAACGCAGGCGAGCUGGUAAGGAAGUUGGUGUGAAGAUAGUAUCAUUCACUUUUCUUUCGUUUUUUUUUUGUAAGUGACUACGGCCGCCCAUGAUUACCCACAACACCAAUAUAUAUAUACACACAAACGAACUACAUAUUAUUAAUAUAAGACGAUGAAAACACUGCCAGAGGCCGUUGUAUUAUAACGCUAUUGAUAAAAAAUUACCUAACUCAAAAUUGACAAUGCCAUGAAGUGCAUUUAUGCAUACUACUUAAUUCCAGGACAAACUUUUUUGUAGUAGGAUCUACUUUGAAGCGUCAUUCUCGAUCACUAAAUUUUAAAUUAAAUUUCUACAUUGCAACUUAUUAGUCUAAAGAGCUUAUCAAACUAAAUUCAUGAAAGAAUGGAAUUAGAAUAUUUAUUUGCAUUUAAUUUUCGAAGGUCCGUGACAUAAACCUUUUACUAAACUAUCAAUUUAAAUUUGUAAUUCUUUAGUACAAUUCUAAGAACGAGGAGUGACGCUUCACAAAAAAAUCCUGUUAUCCACUUUUAUAUAUAAACGUUAUAUUGUACGAUGACUAAUUAUUACGUAAAUCUCUUUUUGUAUUGAGUUUAUAAUAAACAUAAAAUCAAUUAUUGUUCACGGAAUACCUAUAUGACUUUGUGUAUACUUUACCUUGCAUCGUCAUUUUUCAGUGACAUAAUGCCACUGACAUCAUUCGUGCACUGAUAAAAUUAAUAGCCCGAAUUCCGGUGAGUGCAACGAUUGUUGUCCGGUCAAAAGCUAAACUAAACCUUGUUGCAUUGUCUUAAAACUUACUUUCAUUAUACCCAAAACAUAUAGCUGUCACUAUAUGCAUCACAAUUUGAACAAAGGUCAUUUUAUUCUACAGUUGAAAAUGCGAUCCCAUCUAGCAAAUGAAUCAAUUUCUAAAUACAUUUAUACGGCAGCAGAUAAUGAGCAAGGCAACGUGUCUCAUCUUUUUCUUUUAAUAGCAUCAUUGCGUGUGGUAUCAAAGCUUGUUUAAAAAUGAUUUCAUUUGCCACUUGUCUGAAGGAUCUGCUCAGCGGGAGUUGGUAUAACCUAAUUACUAACUUCUGUUUUAAUAAAUUGGAAAUACCAAUUUAUUAUUGUAAUAUUUUUACUGAUUAUGUAUUUGUGGCUAUCUCUUUUUUUUUAUUUUGGUCCUGUCAAAUUUUGUGUUCGGAUAUCGAGUCGCCACUGAAUCUUGACGUCCUCCUGUAAAACAGACCGCGUUCUGUCUCAGUACAUAUAAAAAAAAUUAAUUAUAUAUCGUAGGAUAAUUGUAUACCUGUAAUUCCUAAGUUCUCUAAGAAAGUUUCACUGCAAUUUUAUAAAAUUAUUCGGAUGCGAGUUUCAAACUGAUUUUUCUGAUUUGUCGGUCGUCUGCGGUAGGCCUAAAAUCCUCUAUUAAUUCUAUAUUUAGUUACCGAAAUAAUAGGGCGUAUGAAAACUUUCAGAAUAAUGCCACAUGUGAAAUAAUUAUAAGAAUCUCGAGUUUUCUUUAUAUUUCAGAUACAGUCGGAGCUAAUAUAAAUGUGGUUUCUGGAAAUAUCUCCCUUACAUCCUAUAUAAAUCGUCAUAUCUAUACAAACAUUAAAUGUAAAAUGUUGUCACUGUGUUCUGAAAACCGCGUAAUAACCUUUUUUUUUACAUAUAGAACAGCUUAGCCCGCGUUCACUUUCAAUGCAAUAGAUUAAAAAAAUGACGCUUUCAAAGUACACAUAAGCAACAUAAUAUUAUGCCAUAAACGAUUGAAUAUAAUUUCAAUAAAGAUAUUUAAAACGGAAAACCGUUACUUUUUUGCUUAGUGAAUAAAGAGCAAUAGAAUAUUUCAAGUAGAUCUUUAAAAAAUAUAUUAGACGUGCAUUCUUUACUCCUGCAAAAUUUGUUUCCACUUGUAUAGAACGCAAUUGAAAUAAAAAUAGGAACACGCACUGACGUCAUACUGUCACUAUUAUUUGAAAACGUUAGGUUUAAAAAAACUGAGUACUUUUAUAUUUAUCAAAAAAAUUUUUUUGUUAAGUCUACUUAGCCGGUUUUAUUUGAUAAACGUCACAAAUAUGACUAAGUGCUCUUUACACGCCCAUUUUUAACCGCUUUGUUACGUGGUUUUCAGAAUAUGGUGGGUGACGUACUUGUACCUUUGGACUGAUGGUGGCAUGAGGAAAUGUAUUAAAAAAAAACACGGGGGUUAAAAAGCCACUUUAUGCUAAUCAUAAUACGAUUGAUUUCGUAUAACCCAGCCUAUGAAGGUGUCACACAUUAAUAUCACGUCAUAAACAUUGUUGAAUUCUACUGGGUAUACGUAAUGAAUUAUAUGAUUCGUAUAUUUUAACCCCCCAGAUCUGACUGGGGACCAAGGGUUUGUUUUAUUUUGUGAUAUAUUAUUUGCAGGUGUGUUUGGAAGUUAUUUUAGGGUAUAUACCAAAGAAUGUUGAGAUGUAAGACUGGAGUAGCGUAGUGCGUCCAAAGGUACUAUGCUUUUUCCAAUUUUUUUUUAUUGUAAACUUUUAAACUGACCACACAGGUCAAAGCAACAUAAUAUUAUGCCAUAACCGAUUUUUUUUUUACCUUAUAACAAAGUGUAAAAGUGACUUAGUAUUUCGUUGUUUUACAUGACAUGGUCGCUUGUACUGAUGUGUUUAUACUGAUUUCCUUUUUGAAGGAACACAAUUUUCAUUAUGUCAGUACCUGAAUACAAUUUAAGUACAUUAAAGUAUUUAAAUCCCUA